rnacentral:tRNA from 1 species
GGAUUCAUAGCUCAGUUGGUAGAGCGCUUCCCUUACAAGGAAGAGGUCGUCGGUUCGAGACCGGCUGAAUCCA